AUUCCCUUCAUUUGAAAUAAUCAUUGUUUACCUCAUCCUUAUAUCCAUUUUUCCUGGCAAGAAUGCUCUAAACCUCCACGUGGUUCUUGCCGGACAAAUUAGUUAUUGACUAAUUUGACCAAUUAGAGCAAUCCUUAAAUAUAACAUUGUUGACUGUUUUUUACAGCCGUAAAAUUAUGUCGCUUGUUGUAAUUUUCAUGCAAAUAAAGAUUUUUUAUUGGUGUUGUUUUUAAUUUUUUUUAAUGCUACAAACGGUAGCCAACGUGGAAGCGAUAUGAAGGUAGGUGUAUUUUAUUGCUGUGUCGUAUUUAUUUAUUUCACAAACCAAUAAUUUCAUAAAACUUAAUUGCAAGUAAAAUCUUUAAAUGCGGUAUUGAAAAGUGAUAUUUUGAGUGACACAUUUUAAAUACAGUAACUAUAAAUAAAAUAAAACACUCAAAUAAUUUAUUGCCACGAAAUUUUGCCUUUUAUUUCAAUGAAUGAAAGUGGCUUGCUCAAAAUUUAAUGCAAAUAAACAUUUUUUUUGGUUUCAUUUUUAUUAUUAUUUUUUUUAAUGCUACAAACGGUAGCCAACGUGGAAGCGAUAUGAAGGUAGGUGUAUUUUAUUGCUGUGUCGUAUUUAUUUAUUUCACAAACCAAUAAUUUCAUAAAACUCAAAUUUGUGAAAUUUGUGACGUUUGUGAAAUUUUUACUUGUCAGCCGCGCAUCGGCACCACGUUUUUCUUCAAUAAUCUGAAAUUUUAAAUCCGCCAAUAGGAUUUCUUUUUCCCGUAAAACACUAAGGCCAUCUAUCCGCAUCAUCAGUAAAACCUAAUUCAGUGAGGGCUCGAUUUGGCUAUAUCAGUUCGGGAUGCCUGGUCAUGUUUAAUAUUUUUGAUUAUUUUGGCAGUCGAGGGCUUGAAUGCAGCACCAAAAUUGGAUAUGGAGUAAGGCCAAUUUGUCCGAAUGUUGAUGAGACUGAAAAAUUGGGGUCAUGUAUGGGGUGGUAUCCGAAUCUUUGAAGGAAAUAACUAAGCACCAAAGUUUCGCAGCUUUUGGGGGAAUUCUCGUGAGCAGACAUUUGCGGACUAGACAAGAGAUUUAGAACGUAAAUGAUGACUUUUAUCAACAAUUUUUUAACCCAAGAAGCGCAGAAGGAUGACACUUUAGAAAAAUCACAUCCAGAAGGUAAACAGUGGGAUUUGUACCCGGAAUGACAUGAGCUUACGGCGUGAGCUUGACUCUAACCUUCAGCGUCGGUGGAGUGCUAGACAAAAGGGGCUUUAGAAUGGCACCAAGUUAUGAAAACGAAAAGGGACGUUGUAUUUACUACAAUCAAAGAAACGCAAAUUGGUAUGGCAGUUAAGAAAUUUUUUUAAAAGGAAAAAAAUUGAAAAAUUAAUGUAAGUGCGCCAUCUACACAAUAAGCAUUAAAGUAGUUGACAAAAUGUCGGCUUGAGUACAAAUUUAUAGUAAUCUGUAAUAUUGUGAGUGCCAUCUAGACGUCAAGUUUUUAUGUGCAAGUCUACAGUGUUCUGUAAUGUUUUACGUGCCAUCUACUCGCGUUAGUUUUAAUUUUAAAUUAUAGUAAUCUGUAAAUUUAGCGGCAUCUGCAUUCUGACAUAUAACAUUGUUAGCGCCAGCUGUAAACAAAAGUUCCGUAUAAUUGGUUGCCUACAAUAAGAUAAGAUGGGUGGUUAUACCUUGGUAGAUGUGAGAUUAAAAUUUGUAGGCCUGGUUUAGAUUUGAAUUGAUUUUUUGUGCAGAAAUUCAAAGCUUUGCUCAAACUGUUGAAGAAGGGGAGUGGGUCCCAAGGAGACGCUGGAGGAUAUACUCGAGAGGAACGCGAGAAAACCAACUCAGAAUCGGAAUGACUAAUACGAGUAGAGUAUGUGUAAAAUGAGCAAAAUCCAACGCAAAAUGAGUAAUAACAGUGAAGAUACGUAUUAUGUCCAGUAAUCCGUUGUUCUAAUUAGGAAGAGGAGCCUUUAAGAAGGGCAGUAUGUUAUUUCAGAGACUAAUAUAACGCAUGUUUGCUAUAGAGGUUUAGUCAAAGUGAAGAUGUAAUUUUUCCGAAAUAGUUUUUGUCUAUAGUUGCUAGAUAUUAUGUAGGUACUCGUUUAUUUUAUUUUUAAUAAAAUGUUAAAAAGU